rnacentral:lncRNA from 13 species
CCCAGGAGGCAGCCUGUCUGAGGUAAGCUCAGCAAGAAAGACCUGUGGAUGGUGAAUUUCGGUUUGUGGAGAAACUAAAACAUUUCAUGGGCCAUAUGAAUCUUCUAGUGGAUUGAAUUUAAAUGGACUGGAUGAUUUUUAACUCCAGGCACAGAGGCUGAUUAGAACAGUGUCAGAAGCAAUGUAUAAACAGGAUGUUGUGAGUUGCUGAAAAUGGAACAAUUACAUUAUAAACUUUUAGUGGCUUCCAGAUGAUUGGCAUCUUACUUCGUGAUGAAGACUAUGUGCUCCAGAAGCAGAUGCUGAGUAAGAUUUGAGGUGCGGACCCUACACAGCCUUGGAUAACCUGACGGGGAAUCUUUAGAGGGAUAUUAAUCAAUGUGAUAGUCUCACCUGAACC